UGUCUUGGUAGCUCAGAUGGCAGAGCACUGGGCUAGCGAUCCAGUGUUCGUGGGUUCAAGUCCCACCAAGACAG